UGGGGAAUAUUGCACAAUGGGCGCAAGCCUGAUGCAGCAACGCCGCGUGAACGAUGAAGGUCUUCGGAUCGUAAAGUUCUGUUGCAGGGGAAGAUAAUGACGGUACCCUGUGAGGAAGCCCCGGCUAACUACGUGCCAGCAGCCGCGGUAAUACGUAGGGGGCUAGCGUUAUCCGGAUUUACUGGGCGUAAAGGGUGCGUAGGUAGUCUUUCAAGUCGGUGGUUAAAGGCUACGGCUCAACCGUAGUUAGCCUCCGAAACUAGAAGACUUGAGUGCAGGAGAGGAAAGUGGAAUUCCCAGUGUAGCGGUGAAAUGCGUAGAUAUUGGGAGGAACACCAGUAGCGAAGGCGGCUUUCUGGACUGCAACUGACACUGAGGCACGAAAGCGUGGGUAGCAAACAGG
rnacentral:rRNA from 1 species